AGAGAGAGAGAGAGACUAUUGUGAGACUACAGUGUAGCCUUUACAGGGCAACAGAUUUUCAACUUUGCCUUCUGGUUCUAUCAAUAGACAAAACCACAAUAGGACCACCCAAAGGUGGCUGCUUUUGGGUAAAUAUAUUUCAAGUUUCCCACUUCUGCUCAGCAUCCAGGCCACUCAGUGAUGUGUUGCGUACCACAAGCAGUGCUCUCUGGCAGUCUGGAGGAGUCCCGCUGUUCUUCCUCCAUGCGGUUCCCUGUGGUGCCUUGCUAAAUGAGCAUUUUCAGACCAGCCCUCAGCAAAAGCUUGUAAAGCUUCCUCUGGGUGACACUAAUCCUCAAGGCUGCCCAGCCUCUUUGUAACUGAGGCUCUGACAAGAUUUACAUAUACAUCCAAAUGUUUGUUUCUUUGGCCUAAAAACAGUGAUUUGGGUGUGAAUCAUUGACCACAUACGGGAAUACUUAGCAAGAUCCCUCCAAAACCACUGAGAAGUGUAAACAGUGAUUAAGCCAAGGGAGUUUAAGUGAAUGUUUCCAGCUCCCAGAGUUCACUUAAUUCAUGAGUGCUUAAAGGUGGUUGAAACAGAUAGGAUUGUCAUUCCAUUCAAAAAAAUGAUACCAGUAAGUAGAGUAGUACUAGCCUAACACGCGCGGGACCUGUGCUUGGUUCUCCAGCAUGGAGGAGGGGGGCUGUAACACUAUUAAAAAGCUAGUUCAUGUCUCAUUCUCUCAAAUGAAGCUUUUAGUUAAGUCUUGUUUGCACAGAUUUACAGUGCAGUGGUAAAUGAUGCUUGUCAUGAAGAGCCUGUAGCCUUUGCUCAAAUGCCUUUUGAAUCAUCAAAGAAACCCGUGAGUCUUGCUUUGUACUCUUUGGUGUUAAAUAUAUUUCAAGUUGAUUCUUGGGAGGUUGGUUUUCUGUGCAUACUCACAUUGCUAGAUUUAUCUACACUGUUAAAUGAGAAAACUUUAUAGUCCAGACUUGAAAGUCUCAAUAAGGCUACUUGC